GGCCCGUUAGCUCAGUUGGUUACAGCGUCGUGCUAAUAACGCGAAGGUCGUGGGUUCGAUCCCCCCACGGGCCA
rnacentral:tRNA from 1 species